GACGAACGCUGGCGGCGUGCUUAACACAUGCAAGUCGAACGGAAAGGCCCUGCCUGGGGGGGGUGCGCGAGGGGCGAACGGGUGAGUAACACGUAAGUAACCUGCCCUUGACUUUGGGAUAACUUCAGGAAACUGGGGCUAAUACCGGAUAGGAGCUCCGGCUGGAGGGGGGGGGUAGGAAAGGGUCGGCGGUUGGGGAUGGCCGCGCGGCUUAUCAGCUUGUUGGUGGGGGAGUGGCUUACCAAGGCAUUGACGGGUAGCCGGCCUGGGAGGGUGCCCGGCCACAUUGGGACUGGGAUCCGGCCCGGACUCCUACGGGAGGCAGCAGUGGGGAAUAUUGCCCAAUGGGCGGAAGCCUGAUGAAGCACCGCCGCGUGCGGGUUGACGGCCUUCGGGUUGUAACCCGCUUUCGCAUGUGACGAAGCGUGAGUGACGGUAAUGGGUAAAGAAGCACCGGCUAACUACGUG
rnacentral:rRNA from 1 species